rnacentral:rRNA from 1 species
UGCGUAGGCGGUUUGUUAAGUCUGUUGUGAAAUCCCCGGGCUCAACCUGGGAAUGGCAAUGGAUACUGGCAAGCUAGAGUGUGUCAGAGGAUGGUGGAAUUUCCGGUGUAGCGGUGAAAUGCGUAGAGAUCGGAAGGAACAUCAGUGGCGAAGGCGGCCAUCUGGGACAACACUGACGCUGAAGCACGAAAGCGUGGGAGCAAACA